rnacentral:rRNA from 1 species
UACGUAGGGGGUAAGCGUUGUCCGGAUUUAUUGGGCGUAAAGAGCGUGUAGGCGGCCAGGUAGGUCUGGUGUGAAAACUCGAGGCUCAACCUCGAGAGGUCAUCGGAAACCAUUUGGCUAGAGUCCGGAAGAGGAGAGUGGAAUUCCCGGUGUAGCGGUGAAAUGCGCAGAUAUCGGGAAGAACACCUAUGGCGAAGGCAGCUCUCUGGGACGGUACUGACGCUGAGACGCGAAAGCGUGGGGAGCGAACAGG